rnacentral:rRNA from 1 species
CCUACGGGAGGCAGCAGUGGGGAAUAUUGGACAAUGGGGGGAACCCUGAUCCAGCCAUGCCGCGUGUGUGAAGAAGGCCCUCGGGUUGUAAAGCACUUUCAGUGAGGAAGAACGCCUGGUGGUUAAUACCCAUCAGGAAAGACAUCACUCACAGAAGAAGCACCGGCUAACUCCGUGCCAGCAGCCGCGGUAAUACGGAGGGUGCGAGCGUUAAUCGGAAUUACUGGGCGUAAAGCGCGCGUAGGUGGCUUGAUAAGCCGGUUGUGAAAGCCCCGGGCUCAACCUGGGAAUGGCAUCCGGAACUGUCAAGCUAGAGUGCAGGAGAGGAAGGUAGAAUUCCCGGUGUAGCGGUGAAAUGCGUAGAGAUCGGGAGGAAUACCAGUGGCGAAGGCGGCCUUCUGGACUGACACUGACACUGAGGUGCGAAAGCGUGGGUAGCAAACAGGAUUAGAUACCCUGGUAGUC